UACGUAGUUGGCAAGCGUUGUCCGGAUUUAUUGGGUUUAAAGGGUGCGUAGGCGGUUUUGUAAGUCAGUGGUGAAAUAUGUCAGCUUAACUGAGAGGGUGCCAUUGAUACUGCAGAACUUGAGUACAGAUGAGGUAGGCGGAAUUGAAGGUGUAGCGGUGAAAUGCUUAGAUAUCGUCAAGAACACCUAUAGCGAAGGCAGCUUACUAGGCUGUAACUGACGCUGAGGCAAGAAAGUGUGGGGAUCAAACAGG
rnacentral:rRNA from 1 species